AAUGAACGUUGGCGGCGUGGAUUAGGCAUGCAAGUCGAGCGGUAGGGAACUGCUCACUUCGGCUCAUUUAGCCCACGGUCAAUGACCGUGGGCCAAGUGAACGAAGUGAGCAGUUCCUGAGAGCGGCGAAAGGGAGAGUAACGCGUAGUUACGUACCCCGAGGUCCGGAAUAGCCACGGGAAACUGUGGGUAAUGCCGGAUAAUAUCCUCGGAUCAAAGGUGUGAUUCCGCCUUGGGAGCGGACUGCGUUGUACUAGCUAGUUGGUAGGGUAAUGGCCUACCAAGGCGAUGAUGCAUAGCGGGCGUGAGAGCGUGGCCCGUCUCACUGGGACUGAGACACUGCCCAGACACCUACGGGUGGCUGCAGUCGAGAAUCUUCGGCAAUGAGCGCAAGCUUGACCGAGCGACGCCGCGUGCGGGAUGAAGGCCUUCGGGUUGUAAACCGCUGUCGUAGGGGAGGAAGGCUCCGUGAAGAACGGGGUUUGACCUAUCCUAGGAGGAAGGACGGGCUAAGUUCGUGCCAGCAGCCGCAGUAAAAC
rnacentral:rRNA from 1 species